AGUGAACGCUGGCGGUAGGCCUAACACAUGCAAGUCGAACGGCAGCACAGUAAGAGCUUGCUCUUACGGGUGGCGAGUGGCGGACGGGUGAGGAAUACAUCGGAAUCUACUUUUUCGUGGGGGAUAACGUAGGGAAACUUACGCUAAUACCGCAUACGACCUACGGGUGAAAGCAGGGGAUCUUCGGACCUUGCGCGAUUGAAUGAGCCGAGGUCGGAUUAGCUAGUUGGCGGGGUAAAGGCCCACCAAGGCGACGAUCCGUAACGGGUCCGAGAGGAUGAUCAGCCACCAGGGAAAUGAGACACAGUCCAGACCCCUACGGGGGGAAGCGGUGGGGAAUAUUUGGCAAUGGGGGCAAGCCUGAUCCAGGCAAACCGCGGAAGUGAAGAAGGCCUUCGGGUUGUAAAGCCCUUUUGUUGGGAAAGAAAAGCAGCAGGUUAAUACCCCGCUGUUCUGACGGUACCCAAAGAAUAAGCACCGGCUAACUUCGUG
rnacentral:rRNA from 1 species